AGAGUCAGGUGCUAUUCCAAAGAGACCCAUGUUCAGCGCUGUUAUGCUUUCCUUUGCUAUGAAACCCGGUGAUGGCGAGAGCUACAGGUGGAGACCAAGACUUCAGAUUCCACAAGCUGAGGAAAUUUAAACCUAAAUAUCCAGCUUCUGGUAGAUGCUUUUUGGUCUCUCUGCUGGAGUCUUUUACAAAUCUGAGAACCACAUCUGUCAGGGAUCUCCAAUGAGUCUAAAGUAGCAUGGACAGGUUAGUCUUCUGCUUGCAUAGUGAAGUGAAGCAGCUCCAUGUGGAAGAAGCAGU